rnacentral:misc_RNA from 1 species
UGCAUUGGGCAUAUCUCCUUACCAUGCACCCGAAUCGCUUCGUAGCCUCAAGCCCAACCCGAAAUGGGAUGUGUUCUCCUUCGGGGUAGUCUUGCUGGAGUUGCUAACUGGAAAGGUGAUUGUCUCCGAUGAAAUGGGACCUGCAUCGGUUAUCGGGGCUGCCACAUCAGCAGGGGAAGAGAAGAGUAAAGUUUUACGGUUGGCUGAUGUGGCGAUACGUGCUGAUGUGGAAGGGAAAGAAGA